GUAAGUGAGAUCUCGGUUGCUCGCUGACGGAUUCUCUCGACAUGUGCGUUUCGGAUGUUGUAGACGUAGAGCUUGAUACCCUCUUUGACUGAACAGGAAAGAGUGCCAGAGCCCAUAUCGAAGCAGUUCAGGAGCGUGAACUUCCCACUCUUGGAGGAUGAUUCUUCUCCAAUUAUUUCCCUGCACUUUUCAGCUGCCAUGCUGAGCGCGAUGAUGCCGACGAUGACGAGCGCCAG
rnacentral:misc_RNA from 1 species